GGGCAUAUCAGGUUGAAACACCGGUUCUCCUACGAUCACCGAAGUUAAGAAACGUUGACCCUGGUCACCACUGAUAUGGGUGACUGCUUGGGAAUGCCAGAUAC